AAAAGAAUAGAAAAGAGAAGAAGAACAGAAAAGAAACAGAGAAAGAGACGAAAACAGGGGAAGAAAAAGGGAAAGAAAAAAAGGGGGGAAAAUUGAGAUUUUGAAGCUUGAAAGUUAAUAGCUAAUAUCGAGCCUGAAGCAUCGGCCCAAAAAGGAAAAGAAAAGAUCGUCGAGGAUUAAAUCCGAAGAGAAUUCCGGUUGAAAAGGGGUUAGAGUCUCGGUUCAGCAUCCAGGACAAUCCCGACUCCGACAUAAAGAUUUUGGUGAUGUUUUCUUUCUUGUAAGAGAAAGUGACAUGUACAUAAGAAUUAUAAUAGUUAUUUUAGUAUGUUAUAUAGUUUUGUUGUAAAGUAAGAUAUUAUGUAUUUUGAUGAUUAUAUUAGUAAAUUGGUAGAAGUCCUUUAUGGCA